UACGUAGGGUGCGAGCGUUAAUCGGAAUUACUGGGCGUAAAGCGUGCGCAGGCGGUUUUUUAAGCCAGAUGUGAAAGCCCCGGGCUCAACCUGGGAAUGGCAUUUGGGACUGCAAGGCUGGAGUUUGGCAGAGGAGACUGGAAUUCCUGGUGUAGCAGUGAAAUGCGUAGAUAUCAGGAGGAAUACCGAUGGCGAAGGCAGGUCUCUGGGCUAUAACUGACGCUCAUGCACGAAAGCGUGGGGAGCAAACAGG
rnacentral:rRNA from 1 species